rnacentral:rRNA from 1 species
AUUCAUAAUAACUUAACGAAUCGCAUGGCCUUGUGCGGCGAUGGUUCAUUCAAAUUUCUGCCCUAUCAACUUUCGAUUGUAGAGUAGUGGUCUACAAUGGUUUCAACGGGUAACGGGGAAUUAGGGUUCUAUUCCGGAGAGGGAGCCUGAGAAACGGCUACCACAUCCAAGGAAGGCAGCAGGCGCGCAAAUUACCCAAUCCCGACACGGGGAGGUAGUGACAAUAAAUACUGAUACAGGGCUCUUUUGGGUCUUGUAAUUGGAAUGAGUACAAUUUAAAUCCCUUAACGAGGAACAAUUGGAGGGCAAGUCUGGUGCCAGCAGCCGCGGUAAUUCCAGCUCCAAUAGCGUAUAUUAAAGUUGUUGCAGUUAAAAAGCUCGUAGUUGAACCUUGGGCCUGGCUGGCCGGUCCGCCUCACCGCGUGCACUGGUCCGGCCGGGUCUUUCCUUCUGAGGAGCCGCAUGCCCUUCACUGGGUGUGUCGGGGAAUCAGGACUUUUACUUUGAAAAAAUUAGAGUGUUCAAAGCAGGCCUAUGCUCGAAUACAUUAGCAUGGAAUAAUAGAAUAGGACGUGUGGUUCUAUUUUGUUGGGUUUUCCUGAGGACCGGCCGUAAUUGGAUUAAUAGGGGAUUAGUCCGGAGGGCUUCAGAAUU